rnacentral:rRNA from 1 species
UACAGAGGCCCCAAGCAUUAUCCGGAUUUACUGGGCGUAAAGGGUGCGUAGGCGGUUAUAUUAGUCAGGUGUUAAAUCCUGGAGCUCAACUCCAGAAUCGCAUUUGAAACGGUAUAACUAGAAUCAGUCAGAGGCAAGCAGAACUCACGGUGUAGGGGUGAAAUCCGUUGAUAUCGUGGGGAAUACCAAAUGCGAAGGCAGCUUGCUGGGACUCGAUUGACGCUGAGGCACGAAAGCGUGGGUAGCGAAGCGG